rnacentral:rRNA from 1 species
AGGCCUAACACAUGCAAGUCGAACGGUAACAGGAAACAGCUUGCUGUUUCGCUGACGAGUGGCGGACGGGUGAGUAAUGUCUGGGAAACUGCCUGAUGGAGGGGGAUAACAACUGGAAACGGUAGCUAAUACCGCAUAACGUCGCAAGACCAAAGAGGGGGACCUUCGGGCCUCUUGCCAUCGGAUGUGCCCAGAUGGGAUUAGCUAGUAGGUGGGGUAACGGCUCACCUAGGCGACGAUCCCUAGCUGGUCUGAGAGGAUGACCAGCCACACUGGAACUGAGACACGGUCCAGACUCCUACGGGAGGCAGCAGUGGGGAAUAUUGCACAAUGGGCGCAAGCCUGAUGCAGCCAUGCCGCGUGUAUGAAGAAGGCCUUCGGGUUGUAAAGUACUUUCAGCGGGGGGGAAGGGAGUAAAGUUAAUACCUUUACUCAUUGACGUUACCCGCAGAAGAAGCACCGGCUAACUCCGUGCCAGCAGCCGCGGUAAUACGGAGGGUGCAAGCGUUAAUCGGAAUUACUGGGCGUAAAGCGAGCGCAGGCGGUU